CUCGGCCUACGGGGGGCAGCAGUGGGGAAUAUUGCACAAUGGGGGAAACCCUGAUGCAGCGACGCCGCGUGAGCGAUGAAGUAUUUCGGUAUGUAAAGCUCUAUCAGCAGGGAAGAAAAUGACGGUACCUGACUAAGAAGCCCCGGCUAACUACGUGCCAGCAGCCGCGGUAAUACGUAGGGGGCAAGCGUUAUCCGGAUUUACUGGGUGUAAAGGGAGCGUAGACGGCGGUGCAAGCCAGAUGUGAAAGCCCGGGGCUCAACCCCGGGACUGCAUUUGAAACUGUAUUUCUUGAGUGCUGGAGG
rnacentral:rRNA from 1 species